AGAGUUUGAUCCUGGCUCAGAGUGAACGCUGGCGGUAGUGCCUAACACAUGCAAGUCGAACGGCAGCACAGGAGAGCUUGCUCUCUGGGUGGCGAGUGGCGGACGGGUGAGGAAUACAUCGGAAUCUACUUUUUCGUGGGGGAUAACGUAGGAAACUUACGCUAAUACCGCAUACGACCUACGGGUGAAAGCAGGGGAUCUUCGGACCUUGCGCGAUUGAAUGAGCCGAUGUCGGAUUAGCUAGUUGGCGGGGUAAAGGCCCACCAAGGCGACGAUCCGUAGCUGGUCUGAGAGGAUGAUCAGCCACACUGGAACUGAGACACGGUCCAGACUCCUACGGGAGGCAGCAGUGGGGAAUAUUGGACAAUGGGCGCAAGCCUGAUCCAGCCAUACCGCGUGGGUGAAGAAGGCCUUCGGGUUGUAAAGCCCUUUUGUUGGGAAAGAAAUCCAGCUGGUUAAUACCCGGUUGGGAUGACGGUACCCAAAGAAUAAGCACCGGCUAACUUCGUGCCAGCAGCCGCGGUAAUACGAAGGGUGCAAGCGUUACUCGGAAUUACUGGGCGUAAAGCGUGCGUAGGUGGUCGUUUAAGUCCGUUGU
rnacentral:rRNA from 1 species